CCUACGGGAGGCAGCAGUGGGGAAUAUUGCACAAUGGGGGAAACCCUGAUGCAGCGACGCCGCGUGAGUGAAGAAGUAUUUCGGUAUGUAAAGCUCUAUCAGCAGGGAAGAAAAUGACGGUACCUGAGUAAGAAGCCCCGGCUAACUACGUGCCAGCAGCCGCGGUAAUACGUAGGGGGCAAGCGUUAUCCGGAUUUACUGGGUGUAAAGGGAGCGUAGACGGCAGUGCAAGUCUGGAGUGAAAGGCGGGGGCUCAACCCCCGGACUGCUCUGGAAACUGUACGGCUGGAGUGCAGGAGAGGGAAGUGGAAUUCCUAGUGUAGCGGUGAAAUGCGUAGAUAUUAGGAGGAACACCAGUGGCGAAGGCGGCUUACUGGACUGUAACUGACGUUGAGGCUCGAAAGCGUGGGGAGCAAACAGGAUUAGACACCCGUGUAGUC
rnacentral:rRNA from 1 species